rnacentral:rRNA from 1 species
UACGUAGGGGGCAAGCGUUGUCCGGAAUCACUGGGCGUAAAGGGCGCGUAGGCGGCCUGAUAAGUAGGGGGGUGAAAUCCUGCGGCUUAACCGCAGGGCUGCCUUCUAAACUGUCAGGCUCGAGCACAGUAGAGGCAGGUGGAAUUCCCGGUGUAGCGGUGGAAUGCGUAGAGAUCGGGAGGAACACCAGGUGGCGAAGGCGGGCACUCUGGGACGGUACUGACGGCUGAGACGC